rnacentral:rRNA from 1 species
AGAGUUUGAUCCUGGCUCAGGACGAACGCUGGCGGCGCGCCUAACACAUGCAAGUCGAACGGAGCUGAGAGGAGCUUGCUUUUCUUAGCUUAGUGGCGAACGGGUGAGUAACGCGUGAGUAACCUGCCCUGGAGUGGGGGACAACAGUUGGAAACGACUGCUAAUACCGCAUAAGCCCACGGCCCGGCAUCGGGCUGCGGGAAAAGGAUUCAUUCGCUUCAGGAUGGACUCGCGUCCAAUUAGCUAGUUGGUGAGGUAACGGCCCACCAAGGCGACGAUUGGUAGCCGGACUGAGAGGUUGAACGGCCACAUUGGGACUGAGACACGGCCCAGACUCCUACGGGAGGCAGCAGUGGGGGAUAUUGCACAAUGGGGGAAACCCUGAUGCAGCGACGCCGCGUGGAGGAAGAAGGUUUUCGGAUUGUAAACUCCUGUCGUUAGGGACGAUAAUGACGGUACCUAACAAGAAAGCACCGGCUAACUACGUGCCAGCAGCCGCGGUAAAACGUAGGGUGCAAGCGUUGUCCGGAAUUACUGGGUGUAAAGGGAGCGCAGGCGGACCGGCAAGUUGGAAGUGAAAACCAUGGGCUCAACCCAUGAAUUGCUUUCAAAACUGCUGGCCUUGAGUAGUGCAGAGGUAGGUGGAAUUCCCGGUGUAGCGGUGGAAUGCGUAGAUAUCGGGAGGAACACCAGUGGCGAAGGCGACCUACUGGGCACCAACUGACGCUGAGGCUCGAAAGCAUGGGUAGCAAACAGGAUUAGAUACCCUGGUAGUCCAUGCCGUAAACGAUGAUUACUAGGGUGUUGGAGGAUUGACCCCUUCAGUGCCGCAGUUAACACAAUUAAGUAAUCCACCUGGGGAGUACGACCGCAAGGUUGAAACUCAAAGGAAUUGACGGGGGCCCGCACAAGCAGUGGAGUAUGUGGUUUAAUUCGAAGCAACGCGAAGAACCUUACCAGGUCUUGACAUCCGAUGCAUAGUGCAGAGAUGCAUGAAGUCCUUCGGGACAUCGAGACAGGUGGUGCAUGGUUGUCGUCAGCUCGUGUCGUGAGAUGUUGGGUUAAGUCCCGCAACGAGCGCAACCCUUAUUGCCAGUUACUACGCAAGAGGACUCUGGCGAGACUGCCGUUGACAAAACGGAGGAAGGUGGGGAUGACGUCAAAUCAUCAUGCCCUUUAUGACCUGGGCUACACACGUACUACAAUGGCGUUUAACAAAGAGAAGCAAGACCGCGAGGUGGAGCAAAACUCAGAAACAACGUCUCAGUUCAGAUUGCAGGCUGCAACUCGCCUGCAUGAAGUCGGAAUUGCUAGUAAUCGCGGAUCAGCAUGCCGCGGUGAAUACGUUCCCGGGCCUUGCACACACCGCCCGUCA